rnacentral:lncRNA from 1 species
GAAUCACCCUAAACCCAAUAUGCUGAUGUAUGGUUAGGCCUAGUCCAUAGCAAAAAGGCUCUAAUUGCAGCUGUGACGGUACACGCCAACCCUUGGCGACCAUAUCGUUGUCUAUUGUUGAAAGUUACUGCAGGAAGUAUUUAUCUAGCGGCUAACCAGCCUCGAACGUCAGUGCGGAACGGCGGUUACGAGAGACACGAAUGCACCGAACUCUUUCAGCCAACAGUCUGACGAAAUUUUUUGGAUACGCUUGUGAACGUAUACAGACGACGUUGUCGGUUUUAUCCAGUUGAUAUAGAUAGACGAUUGUUCAAAAGUGCUUCUCAUCCCGAACUCGUAGUCAUCCUGAAUAGAGACAGACGCAGACACUCAAGCACUGCUAGCAACAACUGUGUCGUCACUGCCGGGCUGCUGUCUGUGAAAGGGCAUCAACGAAUUGAGUUGUUGAGAUGGAUCAAAGCACGCGCGAAACGAGGCGAAAACGCCCUAUAGACAUUGCUCGCCUAUUUUACCAGGUCUACUCCACGGUGACAUAGGAGAUGGUCAAAGGACGGCCACUACUUGUCGAAAUCGGCAUCAUUUGCAAUUAAAUGUUAGUAGUAGAGACCUUGUAAAGCCCGCUGGCCACAAUGCUACGAAAACAACAACCGGAGCCAAAACAAAGGACAUAAAUAACAACCAAUUGUUCUUGAUGAGAGAAUUAGGUUACUUUAGCUAACUGUGUGGCCUAAGAGCAAAGCCUCGGAAAUCUUGUUUUUCCGCGAACAACGUCUGUCAGCGCGAACACUGUGAACGUUUUCAGUAUUUGAGCCGAUUGCAUCUAUUCUCGGCCGUGCAGUUUGUGUUGAAUGGCAGCUUAAGGGCUUCCAGUUGUGCUUGUCGCGGCUACCCAAACGUAGUUCCUUAUUCUCUAUUGAGAUAUGCCAGUGGUAAUCAGAAGCAUUUCUUCAUAGGAGUAACGAAACUACUGCACCAGCUCAAGUUGAUUCCACUGUAGGCAUUGCUCUAUGCGCCAACAUGUAGAAACCACUACCUUGAAGGAUAUUUAGCAAAAGAUCAACAUCUGCCGGCGUUUGGUGUGUCAUCAAGCCUUUCUGUUCUAUCUUUUUUAUAUUACUGCUGCCGAACUAUGACUGCUGCUCUAUGCUAGCAGUCGCAAGAAAUGGUCGACAAUUGACGACAACUGUCACGAAACGAACGCAGUGAGGCAGAGGAGAAACGGGCAGGUCAGGAAAAAACGGGACAUCUUCCGUUAUAAGUGGUCAAAUGAGCGAGCCAAUAAUGAGAACCGUUGCUGUGGGCAACAACAAAGGUGCGACAAAAUGAACGGCCACCAACUGAGUGAAGCACGCUAGUCCUUUUGUUGUUCUGUGUCUUGCUGCUGCUGCUGCUGUUUGGGUCGAUUGACGUCUUAGCAUAGCGCUGUUUUUACUAGUAGCGAGUCUUCAGAUGAGUGGCCUAGCAGAGACAGCAGCACCCAGUGGGGCUGGAGUGGGCAGCCACAUAGAUUGCUCAUGUUUCAUGCCAGCUCGACACAGCCGAGGUUGGUGGCCCCAGCAACA